GACCAGGGAAAGAACAGAACUUUUUUCUUCUAUUGCAUCCAUCUCUUUUGAAAGCCCAUCUGUGUCCUCACUAACGCUCUUGCUUUUCAUGCCUUCAGCACUUGUUCUAACUAUUUCAUCAAUCUGUGUUUUCCUUCUCUUAGUGCUUUGGCUUGCAUUGGAGCUUUCCAAACAUUCAGAGGUUGCACAGUUAUAGGACCCAAUAUACUUUUCAAGGAUGGAUAUUACUUCUUUGGUCGCACUUUUUUCCCUCUUGAUGGAGCAGGUGACAAGGAAGCCAGAGUGAGAGCGCUGAAGUAAAGCAGACGGUGCUUUGUAAUCAAAGCGAGGUAAGCUUAUGACGGCUGCGUGCUGCUCCCAUGGCUUCAUUCUUUUUGUAUCGCUCCGUUUCACUUUAAGCUCUUCUUCCUCUGUUGCUUCUUCAUUUUCAUUUUCUGAUUUCGUUUCUCUUUCCACUUUCUGGCUUACUUGUUUUUCUUCAGCCAUUUCCACGUUGAGCUCAGCUCACAGCCAGAUAGGUGUUCCAAAACCCUUCGAUGUGGUGAAAGAAGG
rnacentral:misc_RNA from 1 species